rnacentral:rRNA from 1 species
AGAUACCCUGGUAGUCCACGCCGUAAACGAUGAGUGCUAAGUGUUAGAGGGUUUCCGCCCUUUAGUGCUGAAGUUAACGCAUUAAGCACUCCGCCUGGGGAGUACGGCCGCAAGGCUGAAACUCAAAGGAAUUGACGGGGGCCCGCACAAGCGGUGGAGCAUGUGGUUUAAUUCGAAGCAACGCGAAGAACCUUACCAGGUCUUGACAUCCUCUGACAACCCUAGAGAUAGGGCUUCUCCUUCGGGAGCAGAGUGACAGGUGGUGCAUGGUUGUCGUCAGCUCGUGUCGUGAGAUGUUGGGUUAAGUCCCGCAACGAGCGCAACCCUUGAUCUUAGUUGCCAUCAUUUAGUUGGGCACUCUAAGGUGACUGCCGGUGACAAACCGGAGGAAGGUGGGGAUGACGUCAAAUCAUCAUGCCCCUUAUGACCUGGGCUACACACGUGCUACAAUGGACGGUACAAAGAGCUGCAAGACCGCGAGGUGGAGCUAAUCUCAUAAAACCGUUCUCAGUUCGGAUUGUAGGCUGCAACUCGCCUACAUGAAGCUGGAAUCGCUAGUAAUCGCGGAUCAGCAUGCCGCGGUGAAUACGU